rnacentral:lncRNA from 1 species
UAGAAUCCCUUUUCUCUCUAUUCUCUCUGAGACCUAAACCUAAUCAUAGCUGCCUCCCUCCGAUUAUCACCUAAAGUCUCCUGAAUCCAUGGCCUCCGAAGCCAUUAAAGGCCUGUACCUGCCUCCUGAGACUCCUACGUGCUCAGUUAUCUUGGUUUCCAGACAAAACCUUGGAGAGGCUUGGCCCAGACCCUGUUGAUUCGAGUCAUUUGGCUUGAUUCCGACCUUGCUCCGGCCGGCCAUGGUUGUUUAAGUUUGUUUUGGAUGUCUCCUGCUUAGAUCAUGAUUUUCCAAGACUUUCUCGCUAUUUAGGGUUCUUUUGAAACCCUAAAACCUUCGAGGUUCUUCUGAUUCUUUUAGAUCUGUUAUAGGUUUGUGUUGUCCUUGAGCUUCUCAG